AUUGAACGCUGGCGGCAUGCCUUACACAUGCAAGUCGAACGGCAGCACGGGAGCAAUCCUGGUGGCGAGUGGCGAACGGGUGAGUAAUAUAUCGGAACGUGCCCAGUAGUGGGGGAUAGCCCGGCGAAAGCCGGAUUAAUACCGCAUGAGACCUGAGGGUGAAAGCGGGGGAUCGCAAGACCUCGCGCUAUUGGAGCGGCCGAUAUCAGAUUAGCUAGUUGGUGGGGUAAAGGCCUACCAAGGCAACGAUCUGUAGUUGGUCUGAGAGGACGACCAGCCACACUGGGACUGAGACACGGUCCAGACUCCUACGGGAGGCAGCAGUAGGGAAUAUUGGACAAUGGGGGCGAACCCUGAUCCAGCCAUGCCGCGUGAGUGAAGAAGGCCCUCGGGUUGUAAAGCUCUUUUGUCCGGAAAGAAAAGCAAUCGGUUAAUACCCGGUUGUUCUGACGGUACCGGAAGAAUAAGCACCGGCUAACUUCGUGCCAGCAGCCGCGGUAAAG
rnacentral:rRNA from 1 species